rnacentral:rRNA from 1 species
UACGGGGGGAGCAAGCGUUGUUCGGAUUUACUGGGCGUAAAGGGCGCGUAGGCGGUCAGCACAAGUCAGUUGUGAAAUCUCCGGGCUUAACUCGGAAAGGUCAACUGAUACUGUGCGACUAGAGUGCAGAAGGGGCAACUGGAAUUCUCGGUGUAGCGGUGGAAAUGCGCAGAUAUCGGGAGGAACACCGGUGGCGAAGGCGGGUCUCUGGGCCGGAUACUGACGCUGAGGAGCGAAAGCGUGGGGAGCGAACAGG